ACGGAAGGCAGCCUUCGUGCAUAUUGCACAAUGGGGGCAACCCUGAUGCAGCAACGCCAAGUGUGGGAAGAAGCAUUUCGGUGUGUAAACCACUGUCGUGAGGGAAUAAUGCUUAAUUUCGGUUAAGUUGAAUGUACCUCGAAAGGAAGCACCGGCAAACUUCGUGCCAGCAGCCGCGGUAAUACGAGGGGGGCAAGCGUUGUUCGGAAUCACUGGGCGGAAAGGGAGCGCAGGCGGAGAUGCAAGCAGUCUGUACAAUACCGGGGCCCAACCCCGGACCUGCAGACUGGACUGUUUCUCUUGGAUAGUUCAGGGGCAAGCGGAAUUCCUGGUGUAGCGGUGGAAUGCGUAGAGAUCAGGAAGAACACCGAUGGCGAAGGCAGCUUGCUGGGGACUUAUCGACGCUCAUGCUCGGAAGUGCGGGUAGCAAACAGGAUUAGAUACCCUGGUA
rnacentral:rRNA from 1 species